GUCUGUCAGGCAUUUGACUUCAGUGAAAUUACUGUAUAAUAGUUUGUCAUAAAGACUAACAAAUUUUGAUUCAAAUUUGCUCAGAUUGUGUAUGUGUGAGCUUUGCAUAACUAUUUAUCUGCUUAUAUUUUUCAUGUGGUUCUAAUUCCCACAUAUCACUAAUGUUUCUAAUCAUUGAUGCCUACAAUGGCACCAACCAUUUGAGAUUGUAUCGCUACUUAUGCCAUGCAUUAGGUCUGAUCUGCAAUUCUACUAUCAUUGAAUAAUUUGGUAAACAUCAAACAUCUAUAUUAGCUUUCCUUGCAUUAGUGUUAACUUACUUUGUUGAAG